ensembl:lncRNA
CCUGGCUUGACUGCCACACACCUUCCUCCAGGCACUGAACAUUUGCACUGUUAUUGUAUAUCCAUUUCUUACUGUUCAUAUUGCAUAACUAUUUCUUACUGUACAUAUCUAUUUAUUCACUUAUUACACUUUACAUAUGCACAUACUCUGCACUUUUUGCUAUUUUACACACUGGUUGGAUGUUAAACUGCUUUUCGUUGCCUCAGUACUUGUACCCUGUGCAAUGACAAUAAAGUUGAAUCAAAUAAAAUAAAAUCUUAUAUUUAAACCUUUUUGGAGUGGGAAAGAUUUUUAAACUACAAUGAUAUAUUAACAUAUUUAAGUUAAUUACAUUCCACAACUGAAUGUUUUUUAAAUCGAACGAGAUGCAUCGUACUGCUUGGAGGCAAGUUAACCAAUUGUUAGCUGUAUUGAUCUAAGAGCAAUUUAGAGCCAUAGACAAAAAUCUCUAUUGCAAUCUUUUUUGUUCAUUCGAAAGCUGAAUGUUUACCAUAUCAAAGGUCUUUAGUUGUGACAGAAUAAUGCAUCAAUGCAACCAUUUCUUUCAUAGAAAUACAACCCUUUUAUGCUGCAAAAUGACCUUGAUCUUUAUUUUACUCAUGACUUAUGAGCUGACAAACAGGUGAGAUAAUUUAAUAUGUCACUGAAGGCCCUGAAAAGCUUAGUAAAAGGGCUCUUUUUACUAAAUCUCUGUGGUUGGCAUGCAUUCAUUUAGUCUAUACUGAUUUCAUGAAUACACACAUAUUUAUAUAUAUAUUUAUUUUCUUGCUCACAUUUGAUUUGACAAAAAUACCAAAUACUAUAAUACGAUGAAAAAUUGUACAAAAGUAACACUAUGUAGCUGUGUGCAAAUUGCUAACAUUAUGACUUUGACUUUGAAGUGCAUUUCUGAUAAUUGAGGCAUAUUACUAUGAUAACAGAUUGAAGUUAAAUGCUCUAAAAUAAAUAUCUAUAACAGCUGAUAACAUAGAUGUUAUAAACUGUUUCCUACACCAACUUAAUAAUUAAACCACUUUAUUCCAAAGAGACCAAAAACUAAAAACAACAUCCUAUGUAAUUUAACAGGUGACAAACCCACCAAUACCAUAAAAACAAAACAUUAACAGUGUGCUUAUUGUGGAUUGUCAGUGCUGCACCAGGAGAGACAGUACAGUGGGUUUGGUUUCCUGAAGUUAUGUAAAAGCCCUCUGAUGUAGAUUCAGAAAAGAAGGUUGUUUGUUUGAAGCCUAAUGUCAAAGGAGCUCAACAUGUUUUAAUUUGGCUUCCAUUGACAAUUUUAAGCAGAAAACUAAGCAUUAUUCGUACAUUUAAAUUUGCUUUUAUGUGUUAACGUCAUAUUAAGUUUACACUUGAAUAAAGGAAUAGUUUGACACUUUGUGACAUUUUUUUUUUAGUAAGUAUGUUGGAUGCCGGGUCUAGUCUAGCUUUGCACGAUGCCUGGAAACAGGAACCCAAAGGAGCCCUUUGUCCGAAGACAACAAAACCCUUAAAAACUCACAAGCAUGGUACGUCCUGUUCUUUUCUAUACGUACAAAAAGAAAUGUGUAAAAAUGUAUAGUCAACAACAAAUACUCCACAACAUGACCUUCACGACUCUGAGUUUUAGAUGUGCUGGGAGGUCGAUGAUGUUCUUUGCCUCUUAGCUCCAGCUACUCCUUGACCGUACACAUGUUUUUUCUCAGCGAGGAAGUGAAAAGGCAUAUUCCCCAAAAUGUCAAACCAUUCCUUUAAAUAUCAAACUUAAAGGAAAGCAGCAACACAACAUAUCCUUGUUGUUGCUUUUAGCUGCAGGUAACCCUCAGGACUUCUCGCCAUGUGGCGCUGAGUGGUCUCGUUGAAACAGCAGGGUCACACCCUUCCUGAAGCGGUGGUCCCUGACACUGUAGAUAAUGACAUUACAGCAACUGUUUCCCGUCAGGACCCAGAAGGCAAAAAAGGAAAAGUUACACCAGGUGUAUCCCACAACGUUCCCGAGCACAAAAGCGGCGAUGGGCGAGAAGGACGCUGUGAAGGCAAACGUCAGUAUGCCGAUUGUCUUAGCAGCUUUGAUGUCUGAAAAGGAGGGCCUGUGAGAGCAUCCUCCGCCUCCAGCAGCCCCUCCUCCGCCUCCAUCACUCAGACUCCCCUCUGACAGCAGUUUGCGUUUACGGGAGUACCGCCGAAUGCUCGUGAAAGACACAAUGUUCACUGCUAAUGUGACACCGAGCAAUGUGAAGUCAAAGGCUGGGAAUAACAGCAAGAUGUUGGCAUCAGGUGGCAGCUGGCCCCCGACCAACAGCGGUGUGUAGUUACACAUACGGCUGCACUCGUUGUACUCCAGAGUGAAGUUUCUGCUGAACAUGAGGGGCGCAAUGGCCAGGAGGAAGCUGGCAGCCCAGGAGAGCAGGAUGAGGAGCAGGGUUCUCCUACGGGUCACCAGGGCGUCCUUGUGGAGGGGCCGCAGGAUGGCCACGCUCCGCUCAAGUGUCAUGAGGAAGAUGGUGCUGAUGGAGACAAAGGUGCAUCCAGCAAACACAGGUCCAAUCAGCAUGCAGGGCUGCCACGGGCUCACCAGUCCCCCAGGAGAAGAAGAGGUGGCCGGGGAAAUAGAACUGCCCUGGUACCAAAUGGGAGGUGCGCUGGUCACCAUGAGUGAGAUCUCAGUGUAGACAGAGAAUGGGACCACAAGGACACCGACCAUCAUGUCUGCUAUGGCCAGGGACACUGUCAAAGAGAGAGAGAGAGAGAGAGAGACAACAGGGAAAAGGGGGAACACUUUCAGGUUGUUUGUUAACACUAUUUAUUUGACUUAAACAAGAAAUUCCAUUGAUCUAUAUAUAUAUAUUAUUUAGUAUGAAUAUAGUACACAUCUGAUAGAAAGAAUCUUCUCUUUAUAAAGCGUUUCAAUAAUAACCUCAACUUGAUUAGUCCGAUGACAGACUUGAAUGUUACGAUGAUUCGAAACAAGUACCUUUCAGGUAUCCCUGUGGUGUUCGGGACUGCCUCGUUUGCACAAAAACAGUCAGGGUGAUCACAUUUCCAAUCACGAUGGCAAAUACCAGGCUCAGCAUGAACACCACUGCCAAAGUCCGGUUGAUAAAUCCACAGCAACAAAUGGUGCAGAGCGGCGCCAGUGACUGGCCUGGACCGAGUCCUUCCCGUGUAGCUGCACUGAUGUUAAUGGGACAGUCUGUAGGCGGCAGCAGGGCCGCUGCGCUCCCAGGAACACUGACGUUGGGAAGCAGAGAAGUCAUCGCCCGGGAUGGACUGGAUUUACACCUGGUGGUUUGUAGGCGGUGCGGGCGCUCAGGAAACCAUAUCCUGGACUGGCACGCUAUAC